GGGGCAUAAUCUGUGUCCCAUGGACCCAAUCAUGACAUUUAUUUAUUCAGAGAAUUUUGAAAGGAAUAAAUAAUGAAUAAUUUUUCAUAAUUUUUUUUCAUCUUUUAGAAAAGUCGUCUCCUGAAACAACUGAGACAAAUCUACCUAAAUUUGGCCACACUCAUCAUUAGGGUAUGUAUAUAUAGUUUUAAAUGUGUUUGAUGACCCUGCCAACCUACAUGGCAGACAUGGCUAAAAAUAGAAAAUAGGAGGAAAAUGCAGUGUUUACUUAUAUCUCUGAAACUAAAGCAAAAGUAUAACAGUUGCAUUAUUUCAUGCAUCAAUUGUAAAUGAGAAUAUCAGGUGAGCGAUAAAGGCCCAUUGGAGCCUCAACUUUCUAUAGCCAUUAUUGUUAUAGCUGGUCAGUGGUCAUAAACCUAUGAAAAUAAGUCAAUUAUUUAACCUCAGAGCACUACCAACAGAUUCUUAUCCAGUGUAUUUGAUCAUGUUGAUGAAUAAAUUUUAUUACAACUCGUUAACAGGGCAAGAUAUGGAAAUUUAUUUUUCUUCUGGUUUUAUAAUAUUAAGAAAAAACAAAGGAAAAUGAUAUUUUGAUAAACAUUAAACAUGUUGUUGUGGUUUUGUGCUCUCUUGAACCAUCAGAUUAUUACUGUACUGCAAUAAAAAAAAAACAUUAAAGAAUAUCAGGGAUUUACGGGAACUUGAAGUAAUUGAAAACUUGUUCAAAUCCCAAACUGCACUUUAACUUUACUUUGUAUCAACCAUUAAGUGUUGUGAAAUGUUUACACAAUGCUUGUUAACACCAAACACUGAUCAAGUCACUUUCGUCAUUCUCAUAUUAUCAUGAAUAUGUUACUUUUUUAAUAGGAAAAAGGAUAUAUAUUAGAGAUAUAUUUACAAGCAGGGACAUCUGUGUCCCAUGGACACAUUCUUGUUUUAUUUAUUACAUAUUUUAGUGUAUUAAAGUAAUUAUACUGCUUCCACCUUUCAAUAUUCUAACAAAGCUCUAUCUCAUUAAUGGAUAAAUAAAUGAUACUAGUCAUGACCUCAACAGAUAAUUUUUUUUCAGGUUCUCUGGUCGUAAGAACCUGUUGGCCACACACAUGAAGAUUUUCAUUGAUCCUGCUUUCAGCUAAAUAUCAGAAAAAUUAAGAACAAAGGAAAAUAUGCUGAAACUGUACAGUCACCGGUCAGGAUUAUUUCAGAAGUGAAAUUAUAAUACAAUUUAUUUUACUGGUUAAUUCCUUUGAUUUGUAAUUUUAAACAACACACAGAGGCUUUGCAUUAUUGUUUUACAAGAGAGACACCAAAAGAUGCGGUCAACAUUUAUCAUUUUUAUCAAAAUACGCCCAGGACAAACCAUGGAUACACUUAACUUGAAAUAUGGUGCUUUCAUACCAAAAUUGCCUGGAAGUAAAAGAAAUAAAGAACCAUUCAUGUCAGCAAUCAGGGGAUAAGAUGAAAGAAUGCAGAAUAAGGUACUGUAAUAUUCAGUCUUAAUAAGAGUCCUGCUUCUCUAUAUAUACAUAUGCUUUUUGUUAUGCCCCGUCGUAGCGGAGGGGGCAUUAAGUUUUAUCCUUGUAUGUUUGUACAUAAUAUUAGAUAUAAGAAGAUGUGGUAUGACUUCCAAUGAGACAACUCUCCAUCCAAGUCACAAUUUGUAAAAGAAAAACAAUUAUAGGUCAAAGUACAGUCUUCAACACAGAGCCUUGGAUCACACCAAACAGUAAGCUAUUAUUAAUUUAAGGACCC
rnacentral:lncRNA from 1 species